rnacentral:rRNA from 1 species
GUGCCAGCAGCCGCGGUAAUACGUAGGUGGCGAGCGUUGUCCGGAAUUAUUGGGCGUAAAGGGAGCGCAGGCGGUCUAAUAAGUCUGAUGUGAAAGGUCAUAGCUCAACUAUGGACGUGCAUCAGAAACUGUAAGACUUGAGUACUAGAGAGGGCAGUGGAACUCCAUGUGUAGCGGUGAAAUGCGUAGAUAUAUGGAAGAACACCAGUGGCGAAGGCGGCUUGCUGGACUGUAACUGACGUUGAGGCUCGAAAGUGUGGGGUAGCAAACAGGAUUAGAUACCCUGGUAGUCCACACCGUAAACGAUGAAUACUAGGUGUUAGGAGGUUUCCGCCUCUUAGUGCCGAAGCAAACGCAUUAAGUAUUCCGCCUGGGGAGUACGACCGCAAGGUUGAAACUCAAAGGAAUUGGACGGGGGCCCGCACAAGCGGUGGAGCAUGUGGUUUAA